CAGUAGCCACGGUAAUACGGAGGAUCCGAGCGUUAUCCGGAAUUAUUGGGUUUAAAGGGUGCGUAGGCGGACAGAUAAGUCAGUGGUGAAAGACGGUGGCUCAACCAUCGCAGUGCCGUUGAUACUGUUUGUCUUGAAUAUGGAUGAGGUAGGCGGAAUGUGGCAAGUAGCGGUGAAAUGCAUAGAUAUGCCACAGAACACCGAUUGCGAAGGCAGCUUACCAAGGCAAUAUUGACGCUGAGGCACGAAAGCGUGGGGAUCGAACAGGAUUAGAUACCCCGGUAGUCCCUGUCUCUUAUAA
rnacentral:rRNA from 1 species